GGAGAGUCUCUGGCUCAUGUACUCUCUAUAUUCUGUAGAUAGCGUAUAUACUUUAUAUUUUUCUUCUAUUUCUGUUUAACUCUCGGGGGACGCAGGCAAGAGCAGGCAUUUUGAUAAGGGGUGCCCUCGAAGGCACAAGAUUUAGGGAUUACCUCUUUUGCUUUAUCUAUCACUAACCGUUUAUACCUAUCAUUUAAACCGAAUUAUUUUCCAAACACUAUAUGUUGCAGAUUAGACUUUAAAGACAGCCAACUAUGUUUUGCUGACACGUAUAAUCUUGCUGCUUUUAAACAGGCAGUCUAUUUAGCAAUAUACUUUACUUGCAAUCGCUGCCCGCUAGCAGUCUUUUUCAG